GAAGACCUAAAUUAAAUAAGUUGAACAAUAAUGCGAAAGUCAACAUAUGCCUUUACCCAAAAACUGGUGUCACAUCACUCACGAACUACUAAGAGUACUAAAUACAGCCGUUUGAAAGAAAUAUAACACUUUUUGUCUCGAAUAUAUGAGAUAACAGAAUGAAAUAUAAGAUAGAGGAGACGUCGGGCCUGCGGACGCCUGCAAGGCUACCUCGGUGUCUUGGUAGACUGAAGGCUGGCUCCCGCGCUACUGCUGAUGUUCAAUACCUGGAUCUGUGCAAAAGAGCACAGAGUGUAGUAUCAGCACAACCGACCCCAUGUGUUGGCAAGUGCCUAGCCUAACCUCGGUGAAGUAGUGAUGAGGCUAGGACCAGACUACCAAAUAACCUGUGCAGUUCAAAUAUCUAUAUGUACAGCGAAAAAGAAAUACAGGAAAUAAUCAGUCAAUGUGGGAAGGGGAAACAUAUUGUGGGGAGGUAACAGUUCCAAAUAGAAAACCUCAAUAAAAGAAAGAAACAACAAAGCCAGAAUAUCAAAAAGAAUCAGAAUUCAACGAUUUGCACGGCACAACCCUUCGUGCUUUUACUCUCGUCCUCACCCAAACAAUAUUUAUAAUAAAAAUGUGCACGACAUCACCCUUCAUUCUUUUACUCUCGUUCUCACCAAAUCAAUCUCAUCAUAAUAAUGUGCACGGCAUCACCCUUCGUGCUUUUACUCUCUUUACUCACCACAUAGUCAAUGAAUAUCGGUACGGAAUGGUACAUCGUAUGACAUGGAAUCACCCUUCGUACUUUACACUCUUUCCUCACAAUAGCAAACAAUGCACGGCACCACCCUUCGUGCUUUAACACUCUUCCUCACCCAAACAACAAUCACAAACAAAGGGGCAAGGGAGUAGACAAAUAAUGGUAGAAAUUCCGGCAAGGGACUACAAUUAAAUAGCUAAAUCCUGGCAAGGAAACAAUAUCAAUAAAUCUCAAACAUCCCGGCAAGGGAGAUAAUCAACAAAGCAACAAACAUCCCGGCAAGGGAACAAUUCAAUAACUUUUUUUCUUUCUUUCACUUUUUACUUUAUAACUCUCUUUACCACUUGAGUCAAUGCUCCAAAGGGUUCAAUUAUCUCAUAUACUUUCCCAAUUCGUAUUAUAACUCGAGCCAAUGCUCCUCGAAGUUCAAAGAUCACAAUUUCUUUCACAUGUUUUUUACAACAUAUAGAAAUCAUUAUUAAGGCAUGAAAGAUACAACAAAAUCAGAAUAUCCGCAAUAUAAAGACUCACGGUCAUACUAGACACCAACGUAUAGAUACUCGUCACCAUGCCUAUACGUCGUACUCGACAAUUAGCACGUAGCAAAUAAGGCUCAACUCUUAAUCCCUCAAGCUAAGGUUAGACCAAACACUUACCUCAAACUUCCACAGCCAAAUCAAUCCUCAAUUACCGCUUUUCCUCUCGAAUUUGGCUCUAAAUCAAUUGUAUCUAUACAAUAAUGACUUCAAUAUAUCAAUAAAUGCUAAACAAUGCAAACCCAAUGCCUAAUUAUAGCUUUCCAAGCAUUCUUCCCAAAAUCCCAAAAAUCGACCCUAGGCCCGCUUGGUCAAAACACGAGGUUCAGACCAAAAUCAAAUCACUCAUUCACCCACGAGCCCGAAUAUAUAAUUUAUUUUCAAAUUUGACCCCAAAACAAGGUCUAAAUCAAGAAAAAUCAAAAAACCCUAACUCUACCCAAUUCCCAAAUUUCUACCCUUAAUUACAUGUUUUAGGCCUAGAAAUUCAAUAGANNNNNNNNNNNNNNNNNNNNNNNNNNNNNNNNNNNNNNNNNNNNNNNNNNNNNNNNNNNNNNNNNNNNNNNNNNNNNNNNNNNNNNNNNNNNNNNNNNNNNNNNNNNNNNNNNNNNNNNNNNNNNNNNNNNNNNNNNNNNNNNNNNNNNNNNNNNNNNNNNNNNNNNNNNNNNNNNNNNNNNNNNNNNNNNNNNNNNNNNNNNNNNNNNNNNNNNNNNNNNNNNNNNNNNNNNNNNNNGGGGCUCCUAACCAAACACACAUACUAACUCAACAAUAUCAUACGAACUUAUCCAUGAGAUCAAAUCACCAAACUAACCUCAAAAACAAUGAAUCAAACCUCAAAAUCAAGAAUUUUUCCAGAAACUUCAUCAAGUUCAAAUUUAAGAUUUCAAGUCCGAAUCACGUCAAACGACGUCCGAUUUUAACCAAACUUUAUAGAAAUAUCUUAAAUCAUAUAUAAGACCUAUACAGGGCGCCGGAACCAAAAUACGGGCCCGAUACCAACGCGUUCUAAUCAAAUUUCAUUUCAAUUUUCCUUAAAUAUUUUAGAAAAAUAAUUUCCUUUAAAAAUUCACUUCUCGGGCUCGGGACCUCAUAAUUCGAUUCUGGGCAUACGCCCGAGUCUCAUAUUUUCCUACAGACCCUCCGGGACCGUCAAAUUACGGGUCCGGGUCCGUUUACCCAAAAUGUUGACCGAAGUCAAAUUUAUUCAUUUUAAAUUCAAAACUUAGCAUUUUUCACAGAAUUUCAUAUUUAAGCUUUUCGGCUACGCGCCCAGACUAUGCAGGCAAAUCGAGGCGACUCUAAAUGAGGUUUUCAAUGCCUCGGAAGCACAGAAUGGAUAAGAAAACAGGCGAUGACCCUUUGGGUCGUCACAUUGAAAUAGGUUUCUCUUGCAUUGUUUGAUAUUAUUAAGAUAUUUUUUUUCUAGAUUUGAGUCAGGCGGAGGUGAAUUUUACAGGAAAAGAAUUUUUAGAGUCUGUUUGGAAAGCCAUGUGUAAUUACUUGGUUGUGUAAUUACUAGGAUAGUAAUUACUUAGUCUGGUAAUUACACAGUAUAGUAAUUACAAUGGCUUAUUUGUUUGUCCUGAUGUAAUUACAGUGUAAUUACCAGUAUCAUGUUUGGUUGUACUAGUGUAAUUACAUAGUUAAAUAACUUUUUUCAUAUUAACAUAUAAAUAAAUUUUACUGUGAAAAUACUUAUGUAAUAACAAAUAUUAAAUAUUAUUUAUUAUUAUGUAUUAAAUAUAUUUUUUGUAAUAAAAUAUAUUAAAUAAUUAUAAAAUAGUAAAUAAUAUCAUAAUAAAACAAUUGGUAUUCUCCAUAUAAUAAUUUUAUUAAUUUGAAAGAGAACAAUGAAAAUAUAGCAUAAUUUAAUAAUAACAACGUAUGUCAAAUUUCAACAACAAAUAAGAAGCUCAUUUGGUGCUUAUUUGGUCUAUUAAUGAAGGUUAUUGUAGCAAUUAUAAUGAAAUGAACAAAACUGGGAGAAGUUGUAUAAAGCAUGGCUGAUCCAUUGAAGGAUUAUUAUCCAGGGGAAGAAGCUAGAAGACGCUCAUUUCUUUAUAACUGACUAACAACAUGGGUUUAAUGAAUUAAUAUUUCAAAUGUAAUUAAUAAAUCAGCUAGCAAUAAACUAUUAUAUGCAAUUGGACAACGUCGGAUUACAUGAUAAAAAAAUCUGUCUUAUUUGUUUCCUCAUAUGAAAAAUAUAUUUGAAAGGAAAGAAUUUGAAAGAAUACCUUGCAAUUACGUGAUGUAAUUACACCCAAUUCUUUAUUCCCCUUGAGAAUUGGAGAGUGUAAUUAUUCUCUUCCAACUACACUCAAUUCUCCACUAACCAAGUAAUUACUUGGUCAAACAAACAUGUCAAGUUGUGUAAUUACACCUAAUUACACACAAAUUCAAUUCUCUUGUGGCUUUCUAAACAUGCUCUUAGACUACUGAAUUGGCCUAAUUGAGGUAAGUAUGUUGCAUAACUUUGUGUGGAGGAAUUACCCCUUAGGAUUUGGCAUAAUUGUAUUAUUUGAACUAUGUGAAAAGACGUGUACAUGAGGUGAAGAGUGUAUACACACGCUUAUGUGCGGUAACUAACUGGAUUAGACCCUUGGGCUAUUAAUAUGCCUUGAAUUGAAGUUGUUGUUAUAUAAGACUAUAACAACCCGACCAGUCGUUUUGAGCAUUUGCUUUCCCUUUAUCUAUUUUAAGUGUUGAGUAGCUUCAUAUGAUGUAUUAUGAUCUGUGUGAAUUUUCAGUUUUGGUUUUCAGGUGAUUCAGAAUUGAUUUGGAAGAAUGAUUCUCAACUAUGCAUCUUUAAGUAGGAAGAGUUGAUCAAGAUUGAAUUUUGAGUAUUUGACCUCGGAUUAGAGUUUUGAUAGUUCUAUUAGGUCCGAAUGGUGAUUUUGGACUUGGGCAUAUGCCCGGAUUUGUAUCUGGAUAUUUUAAGAAGGUUUCAGAACUAUUUGACGAAAGAUGGAAAUUUGAAGGUUUGGAAUGUUCAUAAGUUUGACUUGGAGUUGACUUUGAUGAUAUCCUAUUCGGAUUGUGGUUUCGGGAAAUGGAAUAGUUUUUUAUGUCAUUUGGGAUUUGUGUGAAAAAUUUGAGUUCAUUCCGGGUUGAUUUGAGGUAUGAUUUGUGGUUUUGAUGCUGUUAUGUGCGAUUUGAGGUCUCGAGUAGGUCUGUGUUAUAUUUUGAGACUUGUUGGUAUGUUCAGACGGGGUCCUAAGGGGGCUCGGGUGAGAUAAGGACGUGUUUCGAAUCAUUUUUCAUUCAUGUGUGAUGGUUUGUCUUUGCUAGAUCGAGUGUGGUCGCACCUGUGGGGUAACGGGUACAGGUGUGGUGGCUGCAGAUGCAGUCACAUGGACACAGAAGCAAAUCAAGGCUGGAUGAGGGAAGAGUGCAGAAGCAGAAAGCUGGGUGCAUUUGCGCGUCCGCCGGAGCGGGAAUCUGAUCGCAGACGCGGAUGGCAGCUUGGUUGGGAGUUUGCGCAGAAGCGGGCUUUAGCCUUGCACCUGUGAUUGCAUAGAAGCAUAACAGUGCCUGCAGGUGCGAGAGGUUCGUUGGUUAGUGGAGUCAGCAAAAGUGGAGCUUGUGUCAUAGAAGCGGCCAAUAUUUUUACAAAUGCAAAGGUGCCUGGGUAGAAGCUAAAUUAUCGAUGGCUUGGUUAUUUUAUUCACAUUUUGAUUAGGGAUCUCGUAUUUGGGAGCUUUUGGAGGCAAUUUUCAAUACAUGAAUUGGGGUAAGUAUUUCGUACUCGGGUUUGGUUAUAUUUCAUAAAUUUAUCUUCGAUUUUGCCAUUUGGGCUAUGAAUCAGAAAUUGGGGGGUUUUGUCUACACUUUUCUAAAGUGAAUUUUUCAAUUUUGAACAUCGAUUCAGAGUCGGAUUUGAGUGAAACUAGUAUGGUUGGACUCGUAAUUAAAUGGGUUGUCGGAUUUUGUGAGUUUUGUCUGGUUCCGAGGUGCGGGCCCAAGUUUGACUUUUUAGUUGACUUUGGGGUUUUGAUUAAAUAUUCCACCUUUAUCGAUUGGCUUUAUUUCCUUUGGCAUUAUUUGAUGUUCUUGAGUUGCUUUUGGCUAGUUUUGAAUCGUUCAGAGGUCGGUACACACGAGAUGGAAUUUCUAUAGUAUGAUUUGGCUUGCUCGGUGUUAGAUUUGGCUUGUUCGAGGUAACAUAUCUAAACUUGGAUUUGAGGGUAUUUAACCCUUGUGACUAUGUUAUACGAAACACAUUGAGGUGACGAGCGUGUGGGCGUGCGCUGGGGGAAUCAUGAUGCUAGUUGACUAUUAGACACUAUGACCGAACUUGUUUUGUGCUUAUAUUUUGUUACCUCCAUAUUCUCCCUGCUUGUUUGAUUAUAUGAGUUGUGAAUCAUGUUAGAAAUCAUGUUUAGGCUAUAUGUUUAUUUUGUUGGGACCCACUGAGGUCAUCUAUGUUCUUGAGUUAUUUUCUUAAAUUGUGAUUAUAUACUCAGUCAUAUAUAUUUAUUUGCAUAGCAUAUCUUAAUCUCAGUUACCAUUUGUUGUUUCAUCAUGUUAUUAUUGUUUGGGCUGAUCGGCAUGAGAUAUGUGAGCCCGAGAGACUGGAGAAAUUGAAGGCUGAGUUGGGUCCUGAGGGCCGAGUUGUGAGUGACAUUUAUUGGAUCUGGUUGCAUGCCGCAAUAAGCUUUAUUGGCUCAUUAUGGGAUCGGGUUGCACGCCACAGCAUGCCAUGUUAGCUUAUAUUAGCGUUGGGCAGAAUCCGCCCAUCUGGAGUCUGACAUACUAGCAGGUAAUGAGUGCCGAGUGAUUGAGUGUACGAGUAAUUUGAGUGGGAGACAGUGAGAUUGAGUAAUUUGAGAGUAUGAGUACAUGAGUUUAUCACUGUGAUGCAUUACAUAUGACAUGCAUAAUAAGCAUGUAGGCAUAAAGAUGCAUUUCCUCAUGUUAAACAAUAUUGUGACGUUUAUGACUUCAUAUUCACAUUGACAUGUAGGCAUAGAGGUGUACUUUUCUCAUGCUAAUUGAGAAUGAAAUAUCUUAUUUGUUGUUGAAAGUCUUUGGAAAAAAUCACAGUUUUCUAAUAUACUCGUUUUUCGGUAAUUUUGACGAAAUAUUUGGGUUUUACUGUUAUACCUAAAAAGUAUGCCUAUUUUUCUAUAACUGUGAACGAGUAUCAUUUUUCCUUGGAUCUUGUGUUUCCAGCUUACCACAAACCGACCACCUCAAAUUUCUUCACAAUUCAAAACAAAACAUGUUAGAAUGGACUCAGUCGGUCUUUAUUAUUAUCAAUAUUUUUCACUUCUUCAUUUUUUCAUUCCUUUUUAAUGGUGAUCGAACCUGAUGUGGGUUGCCUACGUAUCAUGUGGGAACAUGAAUCAGAUCUUGCAUAGUUCGGGAAGAUUAGGAACAAAGGAAAAACUAACUUUUUUUUUGGAUUUUGAAUUUUUCAUUUUAUUUUUGCGAAAGAAAGACUUAUAAAGUAGAAAGAGAAUAUUUUUGGGAUUUUGAUUUUUCUUCAAAAUUUUUGCAAAGAAAAACUUCUAAAGAAAAGAGAUAUUUUUUUUUUGAAUAUUGACCUCUUUUUUUUUUGGAAUUUCGAAGAAAAACUUCUAAAGAAAGAAGAAAAUAUUUUUGAAUUUUUGGACUUUUAUUUUAAAAUUAUGAAAGAAAGACUUCUAAAUAAAUAUUUUUGAAUCUUGAAUUUUCUUUUCAAUUUUUGAAAGAAGAACGAAAAUAUUUUUGGUUUUUGAGAAGAAAUUAAAAGAAAAUAUUUUUGGAUUUUUUUAAAAAAAUUGGGGUCUUAAAGAAAGACAUUUCUAAAGAAGGAAGUAAAAGAAAAUAUUUUUGGAUUUUUUUGAAAAUGGUGGGCCGGAACCGAUGAGGUUUGCUUACGUAUCUCAUAUCCGGUGAGAAUCAGAAUCGCGUAGUUCGCCUUUUUUGACGGAACAGGAGAAAAUAUGACUUAUUUUGAAAUGACUUAUCUUUUUUUUUCAACAGAAUUUCAGGGUAAUUCAAAUACCUACCUCUCGCUUUUUUUUUUUCGAUUUUCAUUUUUUUCAUUUUCUUUCCCUAUUCUAGAAGCCAGUCAGCAUACAAGCCGAAAUAGACAGAUACGCAAGUAGCACGUAAGAUGUAUCAGGAUGGUCUUUUAAUUUGGGUGAAUUUGUCCUAGAUGGACCCAACCCCUGUGUGGAGUCCCCAAAGUCAGAUGCACGUGAUGCAAACAAACGUUCCUACUAGGGAUCCGGCAUGAGGCUGAGUUAUUCUAAGCUAAAAACCUGGGUAUAUUGUUCUAGACUUGUGUACCCGAGCGGACAACCCGAGCCGAGGAGGGGGCUACGUACCGGGAACCAAAAGGUCAUCCAGCUUUGUAACUUGUCCAAGCCUCUUUCUUAUUUCAAGGUAUGACACUAAUAGAAGAGGAGUCACGCCAGCGUGCACAUCCCCAAAGAUGAGAAGAGAAUGGUUUCCUAGCAGUUUAUAUACAGUUCAGGUAAUAUCAAAGAGAUAAAAAGCAACAUUUAGCACAUUAGGCCCAAACAUGUAAAUAAAAUCAGACAAUAAAUAAAGCCAAAUAUAACAAUGACUCUAAGCUCGAAUUCUGAACCCUGAAUCAGAAGUUCUGGGUCUUGUCCCCAGUAGAGUCGCCAGAGCUGUCACACCUCCUUUUUACCUACACCCCCAGAAGGGGUAUAAGGGAGUUUUUUUUCAAUUUUAAGUGACAAUCGAAACGGGAUCAUUUUAUUAAAAAUCCAGAGUCGCCACUUGGGAUAAUUUUAUGGUGUCCCAAGUCACCGGUUCAAAUCCCGAAUUUAGGAAAAGAUUGACUCUGUAUUAUAGUCCGCGAACACAGAAAUCUGGGUAAAGGAUUCUGUUAACCCGGGAGAAGGUGUUAGGCAUUCUCGAGUUCCGUGGUUCUAGCACGGUUGCUCAACUAUUAUAAUUGGCCUAUUUACUGAUUUUAUUACAUGUUUUAGCCUAUGGUUCAAUUUUAACUUUGUAACCGCUUUUAUUUAAUUAUUUUUAGGAAAGAUUCAACGUCAUCUAGAAUACGUCUUGAACCACGUCACAUAAAUGCACCCGCGGUCUACGAUAUAUUUUAUCAAACGUUGUUGAGAUUUGGAUUUGGGUAAUAUAAAUGCACAUCCGAGUUUAAUGAAAUUAAUUUUUAAAAUAGCGCGCCUAAAACAACUACGCACUUUCAAGUUUGCGAGGGUCAUGGAAAAUUCAACUAAAUAGCAUGGCUCGAUUUCUAAGGAUUAAAAUUAAUUAAGUGAGGGCCAUGCGUUUUGGGAUUUUAUAUGGCAUGGCAUGCCUCAAAUUAUUUCAAAGGAUUGUCCUCAACUAAAUCAAGCUAAAGAAGUUCAUAUUUAAAACUAAUUUGAUGUUUCUAUAAGGCUAUUAAUUAUGCACAUGCUUAGGGUAAUACACUAAGCAUUAUCCAACUCUAUCUAUAUAAUGAAAAUUUCUGAAACUAUAAUAUCUUAAAAUGAGGUAAAGCUUAUAAGACCUAAAUAGAUAAUAACUCCAUCUUAGUACAUCUCUUUUAGUCAACCAGAGAUGGCCUAGAGACUCACGAUUUUCCCAGUUGCUUCAGUUAUUAGUUUUAACCAAAAUUUCGUUUUCUCCACAAGACAGUAUUGAGCAACUUUCGAUUUCCUUCUUUGGAGUACUAAUCAUGGCAGUGUUGAUCAAAUGAGAUGAAAAACAAACAAUUUCAAUUACAUUCCAAAAAAAUGCGAAGAACAGACUUGAAGGUUUCCAAACUAAAUGACAUAUGAUUGGCAAUCUCAUAUCAUACAAAUGGCCAUUCUAUGAAUCAAUAAAUUAUAUUGAAUCUUAUUACACACACAGCUGCUCUAUUGACCACAACCAAGCAUGCUUCGCAAAUUUGAUACAACCGUGAUUCCCCGUCAGAAUUUACGAUAGUCGCUAUAAGUUACAACAGAUUUAAAUCUUCUAAUAGACACAUUACUCCCAAAAAAAGGGUCAAUCAUGUAGAGAUAACAGUGAAUCGAGAUUUCAUGGAGAAAACAGAAAACAUGUUCAUAUUAUGUCAAAGUAAACUUGAAUUCAUGAAUGAAUACCUGGUGGGACAAGAAAACUUGAAUAAAGUGACCAAAAACCGAGACGAACUCGACCGAAACUCAACAGAAAUUCAGCAAUCAAUAGCAGCGCCAGAUUACAACUAAUCCCAGAUCUCAAAUAGCUGGAACUUAAAUUUAACAAAAACCUCGGACGGACAUACGAACCAACUUCGAACAGCCUACACCUUAGUCAUAUUCGAACCCAAUUCCAAUAUUUCAAGAGAAAUCUAUUUUUUUUACCUAAAAUUCAAAAUGAAGAUGAACAAAUUUUUUUUCUAUUUAAGAUCAGAGAUUCAGAUUUUUGAACUCAUGAUCUGGUGGUCUUUGCCAAGAAUGGGGAAGAAGAAAACCAGAAAAUGUCACCUUUGUUCUUGGGAUGGGGGAGGUUUCGUUCCGUUGAAGAUGAUGAACGAAGAAGCAAGAAAAGGAAAGGAGGGGUUCUUGCGCCGUGGCUUUGUAUAUUCUUUUUGGGGUCCAGG
rnacentral:lncRNA from 1 species